AUGCCGGCUUUCGGUGCUGUCCUCCGGGACCACAAGGGCAAAUUUGUGGCAGCAGCAAAUGAACGGUUGAGUCUCUGUUAUGAUCCAUUUUCGGCUGAAGCAAUUGCAGUCAGAUUUGGAUUAAAUCUAACUAAGAUGGUGGGGUGCAGUAAAUUAGAAGUGAUGUCAGAUAAUGUGGAAGUGGUCUCGGCCUUGAAAGAUGGUACUUCUAGCUCAGUUGCAAGUGCUAUUUUCGAUGACUGUUAUUAUAUGUCAUCAGAUUUUAAUCACGUUGUGUAUGAUCAUUGUAAUAGGGAGAGCAACCAGGUCGCUCAUGAACUAGCUAGGCUAGCUAAAUACUCUCCCCCUAGUAUCUGGAUGGAUUCUCCUCCGAAUGAGGUGGUUCCCUUGGUUGUAAACGAUGCUACUCUAUUGACUGAAUAA
rnacentral:rRNA from 1 species